GAUGAACGCUGGCGGCGUGCCUAAUACAUGCAAGUCGAGCGAAAGGACGCGACGCUUGCUUCUCUGAUGUUUGCGGCGGACGGGUGAGUCACACGUGGAUACCCUACCUGUAAGACUGGGAUCACUUCGGGAAACCGUAGCUUAUACCGGAUAAUCUUUUGCACCGCAUGGUUGAAAAGUGAAAGACGGUCUUGCUGUCUCUUCUAGCUGGAUCUGCGCUGCAUUAGCUGGUUGGUAAGGUAACGGCUUACCAAGGCAACGAUGCAUAGCCGACCGGAGAGGCGGAUCGGCCACAUGGGAAGGGAGACACGGUCCAGACUCCUGCGGGAGGCAGCAGUAGGGAAUCUGCCGCAAAGGGCGAAAGCCUUACGGAGCAACGGCGCGUGAGUGAUGAAGGUCUUGGGAUCGGAAAACUCUGUUAUGAGGGAAGAACAUAUGUGUAAUGAACUGUGCACAGCGUGACGGUACCUAAUCAGAAAGCCACGGCUAACUACGUG
rnacentral:rRNA from 1 species